AGCACAUUUCUUGUGUGACCGCGUACUUUUUGUAGAACGGGCCAACGAGUUACGUUAAGUAGCAAGGUUAAGCACUUAAGGUGUGGAGCCGUAGCGAAAGCGAGUUUUAACUGAGCGUUCAGUUACUGGACGUAGACCCGAAACCGGGCGACCUACCCAUGAGCAGGAUGAAGCGAAAGUAAAAUUUCGUGGAGGUCCGAACCCACGAGCGUUGAAAAGCUCGGGGAUGACUUGUGGGUAGCGGUGAAAUUCCAA
rnacentral:rRNA from 1 species